rnacentral:misc_RNA from 1 species
AACGCACAUUGCGCCCCCUGGCAUUCCGGGGGGCACGCCUGUUCGAGCGCCAUCACACCCUCCAAGCUCUGCUUGAUGUUGGGCGGCGUCCCGGGGGGCCCCUUCCGAGGGGUCGCCGGAGGACCCGCCUGGAACGCCUGGGCGCCGUUGCGUCGGACCGCGAGCGUAGCAAGACACCACACGUCGAUCGCUCUGCCGGCUCCACGUGCGGCCUGCCUCUUCGGCCCUCCUGCCCUCCCCGGGCAGGGGUUCCAUCUUACGAGUUUGGCCUCGAAUCAGGCGGGGAUACCCGCUGAACUUAA